rnacentral:tRNA from 1 species
CAGAGAAUAGUUUAUUAAAAUAUUAAUUUUGGAGAUUAAAGAUAGAAUUUUUCUUUCUCUGA